rnacentral:rRNA from 1 species
AUUGAACGCUGGCGGCAGGCCUAACACAUGCAAGUCGAACGAGUGGCGGACGGGUGAGUAAUGUCUGGGAAACUGCCCGAUGGAGGGGGAUAACUACUGGAAACGGUAGCUAAUACCGCAUACCAUCGGAUGUGCCCAGAUGGGAUUAGCGUGUAGGGGGGGUAACGGCUCACCUAGGCGACGAUCCCUAGCUGUACUGAGAGGAUGACCAGCCACACUGGAGAGGAGACAAGGUCCAGACUCCGACGGGAGGCAGCAGUGGGUAAUAUUGCACAAUGGGCGCAAGCCUGAUGCGGCCAUGCCGCGUGUAUGAAGAAGGCCUUCGGGGUGUAAAGUACUUUCAGCGGGGAGGCGUUACCCGCAGAAGAAGCACCGGCUAACUCCGUGCCAGCAGCCGCGGUAAUAC